GACGAACGCUGGCGGCGUGCUUAACACAUGCAAGUCGAACGGUAAGGCCCCUUCUGGGGUACACGAGUGGCGAACGGGUGAGUAACACGUGGGUGAUCUGCCCUGCACUUCGGGAUAAGCCUGGGAAACUGGGUCUAAUACCGGAUAGGACCACGCUCUGCAUGGAGUGUGGUGGAAAGCUUUUGCGGUGGGGGAUGGGCCCGCGGCCUAUCAGCUUGUUGGUGGGGUGAUGGCCUACCAAGGCGACGACGGGUAGCCGGCCUGAGAGGGUGUCCGGCCACACUGGGACUGAGAUACGGCCCAGACUCCUACGGGAGGCAGCAGUGGGGAAUAUUGCACAAUGGGCGGAAGCCUGAUGCAGCGACGCCGCGUGGGGGAUGACGGCCUUCGGGUUGUAAACCUCUUUCAGUACCGACGAAGCGCAAGUGACGGUAGGUACAGAAGAAGCACCGGCCAACUACGUG
rnacentral:rRNA from 1 species